GAUGAACGCUGGCGGCGUGCCUAACACAUGCAAGUCGAACGGGGUUCUAUGUCGGAAGUUUUCGGAUGGAAGAGAUAGAACCCAGUGGCGGACGGGUGAGUAACACGUGGGUAACCUGCCUCAUAGAGGGGGAUAACAGAGAGAAAUCACUGCUAAUACCGCAUAAGCACACGGGAUCGCAUGAUCCAGUGUGAAAAGAUUUAUCGCUAUGAGAUGGACUCGCGUCUGAUUAGCUGGUUGGCGGGGUAAAGGCCCACCAAGGCGACGAUCAGUAGCCGAUCUGAGAGGAUGGCCGGCCACAUUGGGACUGAGACACGGCCCAGACUCCUACGGGAGGCAGCAGUGGGGGAUAUUGCACAAUGGAGGGAACUCUGAUGCAGCAACGCCGCGUGAGUGAAGAAGUAUUUCGGUAUGUAAAGCUCUAUCAGCAGGGAAGAUGAUGACAGUACCUGAAUAAGAAGCCCCGGCUAACUACGUGCCAGCAGCCGCGGUAAUACGUAGGGGGCAAGCGUUAUCCGGAUUUACUGGGUGUAAAGGGAGCGUAGACGGCGAAGCAAGUCUGAAGUGAAAAUCCGGGGCUCAACUCCGGAAGUGCUUUGGAAACUGUUUUGAUAGAGUGUCGGAGAGGUAAGUGGAAUUCCUGGUGUAGCGGUGAAAUGCGUAGAUAUCAGGAAGAACACCGGAGGCGAAGGCGGCUUACUGGACGAUAACUGACGUUGAGGCUCGAAAGCGUGGGAAGCAAACAGG
rnacentral:rRNA from 1 species